rnacentral:rRNA from 1 species
UACGUAGGUGGCGAGCGUUGUCCGGAUUUACUGGGCGUAAAGAGCGCGCAGGCGGUCGUGCAAGUCGCGUGUGAAAGCCCCCGGCUCAACUGGGGAGGGUCAUUCGAUACUGCUCGGCUCGAAGACAGGAGAGGGAAGUGGAAUUCCCGGUGUAGUGGUGAAAUGCGUAGAUAUCGGGAGGAACACCAGUGGCGAAGGCGACUUUCUGGCCUGUUCUUGACGCUGAGGCGCGAAAGCUAGGGGAGCAAACGGG